GCCAGCGCGUUGAGAAAAUCGUAGAGGUUAAACCGACGCAAAUAUGGCAGAGGCAGACCGACCAGGGAAGCUAUUCAUCGGAGGCCUGGACACUGAAACUGACGAAAAGGCCCUUGAGAAGUAUUUCAGCAAAUAUGGCAGAAUAGUGGAAGUUCUGUUGAUGAAAGAUCGGGAAACAAACAAAUCAAGAGGUUUUGCUUUUGUGACCUUUGAGAGUCCUGCAGAUGCAAAGGAUGCUGCACGUGAAAUGAAUGGGAAGGUAAAGUUGUGAAUUUUUUUCAUCUACUUAAAUGACCCUAGUGUCUGUAGCUUGUGUACAUUCCUAAUGUUCUCUUAUAUCUCUAAAAGUCGCUUGAUGGAAAGCCCAUCAAGGUUGAACAAGCUACGAAACCUACUUUUGGACGCGGCCCACCACCCAUGCAUCCACGCAGCCGUGGUCCCCCUAGAGGCCUUCGAGGAUCUAGAGGAGCACCAAGUGGAAUGAGGGGUCCACCAUCCAGAGAACCCUUUUUCAAAGGGAUUUCAUCCAGAGGCCCCCCACCACUGAAGAGAGGACCUCCGAUUCGUAAUGGAGGCCCCCCACCCAAGAGACACGCUCCUUCUCCUAUGGGUAGAACUCCCAUGUCCAGGGACAGGGACCCCUAUGGCCCACCCCCUCCCCGCAGAGAGUCAAUGUCCAGAAGGGAUGAUUACCCAUCACCAAGGGAUGACUAUUACAGCACAAAGGACAGCUAUUCUAGCCGGGACUAUACGAGUUCCAGGGAUACAAGGGACUACGCACCACCACCAAGGGAUUAUCCCCAAUCCAGUUCCCGUGAUGACUAUGGGUCAAUGUCCAGGGGCUACAGUGAGCGUGAUGGCUAUGGUGGAGGCCGGGAACCCAAAAGCUAUAUGGAGCGCCCUAGUGCAGCCGCCUAUCGAGAGCCCUACGGUGGUUACGGUAAGAUUGACCACUUAAGCAUAAUGGACAAAAGUUGCUCCAGUCUCCCACAACCUGCUCAAUGUCCCCCUGGGAGCUGGAGACCUUACAUGCACCGCAAGGGAAACAUCCAAAAAGCCUCUUAACCAUUCAAUGUUCAUUCUACAGUGUCACAAAAUACUCCCUCAAGGAGUCGUGCUCAAAUCUGUUUUUGUAGGGUGAAACGACCCUCACAAAACCAUCAAGACCUCAAUGAAAAACUGUGACCAAUGUGAGAUUCUAACAACUGGAAUUCUAAAAGGAAAAAGCAGCUCCUCAACAAAACCAUGGCAUGCUCAAAGGGCUUUCAUUGCCUAAUUUAUGAUCCCCCAAGCUUGGAUAAAUAAUCGCUGAAAGCACCUAAAUGUUAAGUUUUGAUCAGAUCCCUAGCAUAUUGGAGAUUUAAACGUAUAGUUGCAAUUGAUAGUCUUAAGAAAUACUCACAGAAAACAUUGGCUCAUAAUUCAGCAAAGUGUGUGAAGUGAAACUUGCCUAUUACCUGACCCAUUGACCCUGCAGGUAACUCACGCAGCGCCCCACCCUCAAGGGCCCCCCAACCAUCCUACAAUGGCAGUGGCGGAAGCAGUCGCUAUGACGACUAUGGCAGCAGUUCCCGGGAUGGCUAUGGCGGUCGUGAAAGUUACCCCAGCAGUCGAAGUGACCCAUACCCCCCUAGCCGUGGUGAGCGAAUGGGCAGGCAGGAGCGGGGGCCAGCGCCCCCUAUCGAGAGAGGCUACCCUCCUCGUGACGCGUACAGUGGCUCAAGUCGUGGAGCACCCCGUGGUGGCCGCGGAGGCACCAGAGUCGAUAGAGGAAUUGCCCGCAGCAGAUACUGAGAUGGACUUGGACAUUACAUCAAAGCGACCGCUACGUAAUGCGUGUUCAUUCACUACUUGUAUAAGUGGGUGGAAAGUUGGAGAGGGCAAAAAAACUAGGAUGUCAAAUUCCAUGGACAAGCAUAGGUUUUGAGAUGUUUAUCUUCAGGCUGUCAAUUUAUUUUUGUUUUAAGUGUUAAAAUACUUUUAUUUCCCCAGCCCAUGUAAUGAUAUCAUUGCCAAGUGAUGCGUGUUUAGUUUUUGUACAUUUAGUGCUGUUAAGUCCUGCUAUGCCCAUGGAUAUGGCUUUCGUAUACUAAUAAAGUUUUUAACCAAAGUUCUUUACGCAACACUAAUGGAUGUUCUGAAAGUGACAAACUAUUACAUAAAUGUACACCGAUUGCCCAGCGCACAUCAACAAGUAGAGAUCAUUUGAGAUGCAGAGCUUUCAACUGUGACGCUUGUAGAUGACACUUAGCAGUCCUGUACUUUGCAUUGUCCAACUGGGUUGUCGGAGGACAACGCAAAUGUCAAUCAGUGUAGUUUUCCCUCAGUGGAAAUGGAGUCAUCGCCAUAACUCCAAACAAUGCUGGCUUGCAACGACCUUACCAAAGACCAACAACCAAACGCCAGAGUCUUUUCAACCCGACUGAUAGUGUCAACAGCUGGUAAGCAAAGCAAAACUUUUUGUUUCUCGUCUGUUAACUUAAUUUCUCAUUACCGUGAAUUGCAGUCUGCUCAAAAGGUAUAGUGUGCAAGAGACUGGAUGCCCCAGGGAAUGAAACGAAUCCUUUUAGUCCAAUUGAAGUAGCUUUUUUUUUGUAGUCUUUUCUCUACAAAAUUUUGAUUACAUACAAUUUCUUAAAAUGUAUUUUACUUGAUAAACAUUGAAUUAGCCACUAAACCUACAUUACGGGUCAACAUCUAACUUGUCAACAACUAACUUGUCAACAAUGCGCAGAAUCACAAAAGGAGAUCACCUUUGCUGGGCACUUGUUUUUUUUUCAACUCAUCCCAAAAAAUGUUUGGCAAUUUUUUUUUACUGAGGGGCAAUGUUCAUAAUAAGGAGUCUUUUUUUGUGUACGGUGGAUUUCAUUUUAUUUUUCUGUGCCAUAGUCAAAGAUCAAGCUUGUCUCAAGCAUGCCAAUUCUCAAAUGGAGACCACUCGGAAGAGCAGCCAUGUCCUAACAACCAAGCUGGAAAGUGAAUGGGAGCGAGAAUCAAAUCGGACCAUUGCGUUAUUUGAAGGGGAUACUGAAAGAUUGGGUUAUCAAUUUUAUGUAAUCCAAAAGAAAUGGCGGGAUGUUAAUUUAUAUUUUCUUGUUUCAGGAUGAGCAAUCUUUUGGAACUAUUGCUGAUUAAAGCCGUCCUGUUGGAUCCAAGUGGAUGUUGGACCACUGCAUAGAGAACCGAACGUGUACCAGUGCUGAUCAUGUGAUGGAACCAAGCGUGGUGGGCAGAUCCAUGGACAGAACUCUGGCUGAGAAAUAAGCCUUGAAGUCUUAAUGUCUAUUUUUGCCAAUAAAACAUUUUUUUUACUUGGAA